AGAGUUUUUGUAUAUGGCUCAGGACGAACGCUGGCGGCGUGCUUAACACAUGCAAGUCGAACGGAAAGGCCCUGCUUUUGUGGGGUGCUCGAGUGGCGAACGGGUGAGUAACACGUGAGUAACCUGCCCUUGACUUUGGGAUAACUUCAGGAAACUGGGGCUAAUACCGGAUAGGAGCUCCUGCUGCAUGGUGGGGGUUGGAAAGUUUCGGCGGUUGGGGAUGGACUCGCGGCUUAUCAGCUUGUUGGUGGGGUAGUGGCUUACCAAGGCUUUGACGGGUAGCCGGCCUGAGAGGGUGACCGGCCACAUUGGGACUGAGAUACGGCCCAGACUCCUACGGGAGGCAGCAGUGGGGAAUAUUGCACAAUGGGCGGAAGCCUGAUGCAGCAACGCCGCGUGCGGGAUGACGGCCUUCGGGUUGUAAACCGCUUUCGCCUGUGACGAAGCGUGAGUGACGGUAAUGGGUAAAGAAGCACCGGCUA
rnacentral:rRNA from 1 species